rnacentral:rRNA from 1 species
AUUGAACGCUGGCGGAAUGCUUUACACAUGCAAGUCGAACGGCAGCACGGGGCAACCUGGUGGCGAGUGGCGAACGGGUGAGUAAUACAUCGGAACGUGCCCAAUCGUGGGGGAUAACGUAGCGAAAGUUACGCUAAUACCGCAUACGAUCUACGGAUGAAAGCGGGGGAUCGCAAGACCUCGCGCGAAUGGAGCGGCCGAUGUCAGAUUAGGUAGUUGGUGGGGUAAAGGCUCACCAAGCCGACGAUCUGUAGCUGGUCUGAGAGGACGACCAGCCACACUGGGACUGAGACACGGCCCAGACUCCUACGGGAGGCAGCAGUGGGGAAUUUUGGACAAUGGGGGCAACCCUGAUCCAGCCAUGCCGCGUGAGUGAAGAAGGCCUUCGGGUUGUGAAGCUCUUUCGGCCGGGAAGAAAUCGCACGGGCUAAUACCCUGGUGUGGAUGACGGUACCGGAAUAAGAAGCACCGGCUAACUACGUGCCAGCCGCCGCCGUAAGAC